rnacentral:tRNA from 1 species
CUGUUUAACUAAAAAAGUAUAUGUCUUGAAAACAUAAAAUAGUUGUUUAAUUCAACUAAUAGU